UCAUCACCAUCCUCUGUAAAUGACCAGAAACUUGCCAAGACAAUAACAAAAGUCUCCCAGGGUCGGGAGACUUUUUAGUCAGUU
rnacentral:sRNA from 1 species